UGGGGCGUUGCCAAGCGGUAAGGCAUCAGCCUUUGGAGCUGAUAACCGUAGGUUCGAAUCCUACCGCCCCAGCCA
rnacentral:tRNA from 1 species